rnacentral:rRNA from 1 species
AACAGGAUUAGAUACCCUGGUAGUCCACGCCCUAAACGAUGUCUACUAGUUGUUGGGUCUUAAUUGACUUAGUAACGCAGCUAACGCGUGAAGUAGACCGCCUGGGGGGUACGGUCGCAAGAUUAAAACUCAAAGGAAUUGACGGGGACCCGCACAAGCGGUGGAUGAUGUGGAUUAAUUCGAUGCAACGCGAAAAACCUUACCUACCCUUGACAUGUACGGAAUCCCUGAGAGAUUAGGGAGUGCUCGAAAGAGAACCGUAACACAGGUGCUGCAUGGCUGUCGUCAGCUCGUGUCGUGAGAUGUUGGGUUAAGUCCCGCAACGAGCGCAACCCUUGUCAUUAGUUGCUACGAAAGGGCACUCUAAUGAGACUGCCGGUGACAAACCGGAGGAAGGUGGGGAUGACGUCAAGUCCUCAUGGCCCUUAUGGGUAGGGCUUCACACGUCAUACAAUGGUACAUACAGAGGGCCGCCAACCCGCGAGGGGGAGCUAAUCCCAGAAAGUGUAUCGUAGUCCGGAUUGUAGUCUGCAACUCGACUACAUGAAGUUGGAAUCGCUAGUAAUCGCGGAUCAGCAUGUCGCGGUGAAUACGUUCCCGGGUCUUGUACACACCGCCCGUCACACCAUGGGAGCGGGUUUCACCAGAAGUAGGUAGCCUAACCGUAAGGAGGGCGCUUACCACGGUGGGAUUCAUGACUGGGGGUGAAGUCGUAACAAGGUAACC